GACGAACGCUGGCGGCGUGCCUAACACAUGCAAGUCGAACGGAGUAGAGACUUCGGUUUUUACUUAGUGGCGAACGGGUGAGUAACGCGUGAGAAACCUGCCUUUCAGUGGGGGACAACAGUUGGAAACGACUGCUAAUACCGCAUAACGCAGCUAGACCGCAUGGUCUUACUGCCAAAGCUUAAUGUGCUGAAAGAUGGUCUCGCGUCUGAUUAGCUAGUUGGUGAGGUAACGGCUCACCAAGGCGACGAUCAGUAGCCGGUCUGAGAGGAUGAACGGCCACAUUGGGACUGAGAUACGGCCCAGACUCCUACGGGAGGCAGCAGUGGGGAAUAUUGGGCAAUGGGGGAAACCCUGACCCAGCAACGCCGCGUG
rnacentral:rRNA from 1 species